UUCGGUAUCCGGUGUUGCUUACCUAUCGAAAGGAACCCGACGGUCUCGUUCGUCCCCCUCCGCCCCCGGCCCUCGCGGGUUGUGGGGUGGACGUCAGGCACGCACCGUGUUCCCGGCAAGCCUCGCCGAGUCGCUUGGCCGCCUCGGCCCACGGUGUGCUAUGCCCGUUCUCUCGGAUGCSGAACGUUAUGCGCGGGCGUGGGGUCUGUCACAGACUCCGUCUGCCCGAGCAACGCAUUUUGUCCCUCGACGCGAACGACCGUCGUGCCCGUCUUGAGCCCGCGGCCUCACGGCCCGUCGGGCGUCAUGCGGGCGUCGGCGUCGCGAAGGAACGCUACCUGGUUGAUCCUGCCAGUAGUCAUAUGCUUGUCUC
rnacentral:misc_RNA from 1 species